rnacentral:rRNA from 1 species
UUUGUCGUCUUGUAAUGGAAUGAUGGUGACCUAAACCCUCACCAGAGUAACAAUUGGAGGGCAAGUCUGGUGCCAGCAGCCGCGGUAAUUCCAGCUCCAAUAGCGUAUAUUAAACUUGUUGCAGUUAAAAAGCUCGUAGUUGAAUUUCUGCGUUAUCGAGUUAUUGACUCUUGUCUUUAAUCGAUUUCGCUUUUGGGAUUUAUCCCUUUUUACUUUGAGAAAAUUAGAGUGUUUCAAGCAGACUUUUGUCUUGAAUACUUCAGCAUGGAAUAAUAGAGUAGGACUUUGGUUCUAUUUUGUUGGUUUUUGAACCUUAGUAAUGGUUAAUAGGAACGGUUGGGGGCAUUCGUAUUUAACUGUCAGAGGUGAAAUUCUUAGAUUUGUUAAAGACGAACUACUGCGAAAGCAUUUGCCAAGGACGUUUCCAUUAAUCAAGAACGAAAGUUAGGGGAUCGAAGACGAUCAGAUACCGUCGUAGUCCUAACCAUAAACUAA